CCGGUACCGGCACGGCUGGUUCGGGUGGGCGGGAGCCACGGGACGGCGCCACUGAGCGCGGGCCGGCGUUUGCAUGGGCAAUUUACAUAUGCAAAUGAUCACAGAAUCAUUUAGGUUGAAAAAGAUUGCCAAGACCAUCAAGUCCAGCCUGUGACCAGUCACCAGCUGGACAAGACCACUGAGUGCCACAAGCAGUCACUCCUUGAAAACGUCCAAGGACAAUGACUCUAGCACCAAUGGAGCCCCAGUUCCCUCCUCCACCCCAAGCAAGAGAAUGGGUCAAAACUCUCUGGAUUUGUGAAUGUCCAGAUUGUGGUAACAACAGGGUGUUGGGGUAAUACAGGAGAAGGUGGGUGUGUCCUGAAGAAACCACAUCUAUCCUGUGAAGUACCCACCCCAGAGAAGGAGAAAUGCAAGGAAGAAUUGAGCAGAUGGGAGUUUAUAUACACUGAUCACAUCCCCCAUUCCCCAUCUCCACUGCACUGCCCAGGCUAGAGGGGAAGGGAGGAGUUGGGGAUGUGAAGCUGAGUCUGGGAAAAAAGUGGUUUAAAUCUUGUCUUGGUUUCUCAACAUCCAAACAUAUUUUAAUUUGCAAUAAAUUAUUUUUUUCCAA